rnacentral:rRNA from 1 species
UACGUAGGUGGCGAGCGUUGUCCGGAUUUACUGGGCGUAAAGGGCGUGCAGGCGGUUUGUUAAGUGCAGGGUGAAAGCUCCCGGCUCAACUGGGAGAGGUCCUUGCAUACUGGCGAACUCGAGGGAGGCAGAGGAAAGUGGAAUUCCCGGUGUAGUGGUGAUAUGCGUAGAUAUCGGGAGGAACACCUGUGGCGAAGGCAGCUCGCUGGGACGGUACUGACGCUGAGGAGCGAAAGCGUGGGGAUCAAACAGG